UAUACACACUGCAUUCAUUAUAUACACACACUGCAUUCAUUAUAUAUACACACACAAACGCACACACUGCAUUCAUUAUAUAUACACACACACUGCAUUCAUUAUAUACACACACACAACACACACUCUGUAUUCAUUCUAUACACACACUGUAAAUAAAUAUUCAAUUAAUGUAAUUUUAUUUAGACAUUUACCAGUAGCUGCUGCAUUUCCCACCCUAGGCUUAUACUCACGUCAAUAAGUUUUCCCAGUUUUUUGUGGUAAAAUUAGGGGCCUCGGCUUAUAUUCGGGUCGGCUUAUACUCGAGUAUAUACGGUACCACAGUUUUAAAAAUAAGGUACAGCUGUACAAUGCACUAGUUUAAAGAUAUCAAAGCUUAAAUGAAUCACAGCAUAAAAUUACAACUGCAUAAUGUACCACGGUAAAAAAAAAAGGCAAAUAAAGUAAUGAAG